GGCUGUGCGUCCAGCGGGGGCGCCGGACGACCGGCGACGGCCUCUGGCCUGUAUGGGAGAGCCUUAAUAGGCUUGAAGUUCGGCGAGAUGGGCCCGUAGCUCAGUUGGUUAGAGCACACGCUUGAUAAGCGUGGGGUCGGAAGUUCAAGUCUUCCCGGGCCCACCAUUUGCACCAGCAAAUGAGUUUGCUGUAGCGAAUGAAGUUUGCUGUAGCGAAUAGUGGUUUGUUUGGGUUUACCUGAUCCUGGCGGUUUGCUGUCAGGUGUUUGCGAUGGUUGGGGCUGUAGCUCAGCUGGGAGAGCACCUGCUUUGCAAGCAGGGGGUCAGCGGUUCGAUCCCGCUCAGCUCCACCAAUUCGCUUGGUGUCGAGACUGAGAGAUAUCCUUUGAAGAAAUAAAAGUUUUGCAUCAGCUUAUGUGCUGAUGCGUGUUCUGCAUACAUUGUGAAGAGAAGAUUGAUCUGGAGGCUUCCAGGUGUCGUGGGUUUUUAUCCAUGAUGUCCGAGCCCAGUUCCUAUGAAACCAUGGAUGGCCUAGCCGGCCGGAUGUGGUGGAGGGAUUGGAGGUAGGAAGGAAGCUUGUCGCUCUGGGUCGUUGUUGUUUGCUGUCUUUAGGGAUGAGCAUCUGACGGACGACUUGAUUACCGUUGCCUGACCGCGCGGUAUCGGAUCAUAUCUCGAGAAGCUGGUCUUAUU
rnacentral:tRNA from 1 species